UUCAUGAUGAAAAUUAUUUGCUACUAAUGAUAGGCUUGAUUACAUUCCACCAAGAUCUCUGAAGAA
rnacentral:snoRNA from 1 species